UGGUAGUAAGGCAAGUGAAGAUACUGAUGGAGUUUCAGAUGAAGGGCAAAAGAGGCAUAAAGUUAUGGGAUUUGUUGGGAUCCAAACUGGGUUUGCUUCCACUGGUCGUCGCCGGUCGUUGAGGCAAACUUGGUUUCCUUCUGAUCAUGAAGGCCUUCAAAAGUUAGAAGAAGCUACUGGCUUGGCUUUUAAAUUUGUAAUUGGUAGAACAAGUGAUCAAUACAAAAUGGCAGAGCUUAAAAAAGAGGUAGCACAAUAUGAUGAUUUUUUACUAUUAGACAUUGAAGAGAAGUACAGUAAGCUACCAUACAAAACCAUAGCUUUUUUCAAAGCUGCCUAUGCGCUUUAUGACUCUGAAUUUUAUGUUAAAGCUGAUGACGACAUAUAUUUGAGGCCAGACCGCCUUUCACUGCUCUUGGCCAAAGAGCG
rnacentral:misc_RNA from 1 species